rnacentral:rRNA from 1 species
UACGGGGGGGGGCAAGCGUUGUUCGGAAUUACUGGGCGUAAAGGGCGCGUAGGCGGCCUUCUAAGUCGAACGUGAAAUCCCUGGGCUCAACCCAGGAACUGCGUCCGAGACUGGGAGGCUUGAAUCCGGGAGAGGGAUGCGGAAUUCCAGGUGUAGCGGUGAAAUGCGUAGAUAUCUGGAGGAAUACCGAUGGCGAAGGCAGCCCCCUGGGAUAACACUGACGCUCAUGCACGAAAGCGUGGGGAGCAAACAGG